GGGGGGAUGGCCGAGCGGUCAAAGGCAGCAGACUGUAAAUCUGCCGACUCCGUCUACGGAGGUUCGAAUCCUCCUCCCCCCA
rnacentral:tRNA from 1 species